GGUGUAUAGCAGGUGUAUAACAGGUGUAUAACAGGUGUAUAACAGGUGAAUAGCAGGUGUAUAGCAGGUGUAUAACAGGUGUAUAGCAGGUGUAUAACAGGUGUAUAGCAGGUGUAUAACAGGUGUAUAGCAGGUGUAUAACAGGUGU